GGACAGGUGCCAGAGUGGUCGAAUGGGCGCGCCUGGAAAGCGCGUGUACCUGAAAGGGUACCGUGGGUUCGAAUCCCACCCUGUCCGCCA
rnacentral:tRNA from 2 species